rnacentral:rRNA from 1 species
UACGGAGGGUGCGAGCGUUGUCCGGAAUCAUUGGGCGUAAAGGGCGCGUAGGUGGCCCGGUCAGUUCGUGGUGAAAGCGCGGGGCUCAACCCUGCGUCGGCCAUGAAUACUGCCGCGGCUGGAGCACUGUAGAGGCAGGCGGAAUUCCGGGUGUAGCGGUGGAAUGCGUAGAGAUCCGGAAGAACACCGGUGGCGAAGGCGGCCUGCUGGGCAGUUGCUGGCACUGAGGCGCGACAGCGUGGGGAGCAAACAGG